rnacentral:lncRNA from 1 species
UCCACCUCCAUGGGGACAGUGGAUGUCAGGCAAAGGAAAUUACAAGUAAACUGAUGAGCUUAAACAAGUUUCAAAGUCUAUAAAAAGCAUCCAGAUGAAAUGCUAGUUCUACUCUUAAGCAUUUGCUGCAGAGUCCAAAUGCAUUGUCUCAAUUUUCUAGAUAAGGCAGAUUUGAGUAGGCUAUGUUUGCCAAUCUGCUCAGGCUACAUAUUUAUCAUCAACAUCAGCAUCAAUUUUCUCCAGGAGGGCAGACUAACAAAAUGAAAAUGAAAAAGAAGCAGGGGGCAAUAAAGAAGGAAAUUAGCUAUAUCAAACUUAAAACUGAUGUCGCUAUCAACCAAUGUCCACCAAAGAGUUGUCGGCGGGGAAUUUUAGUU